AAUUUAAAAUCUGGCGUCUUUCAGGCGUCCGAGUUGUAAUCUACAGAAGUGUUUUCCGUGCCGGACCGUGUCCAAGUCCCUUGGAAUAGGGUAUCAAAGAGGGUGAUAAUCCCGUACUUGACACGACAACCGGUGCUCUGUGAUACAUUUUCUACGAGUCGAGUUGUUUGGGAAUGCAGCUCAAAAUGGGUGGUAAAUUCCAUCUAAAGCUAAAUAUAGGCGAGAGACCGAUAGCGAACAAGUACCGUGAGGGAAAGAUGAAAAGCACUUUGGAAAGAGAGUUAAACAGUACGUGAAAUUGUUAAAAGGGAAACGAUUGAAGUCAGUCAUGUCUAUUGGUUUCAGCUAGCUCUGCUAGUGUAUUACCUUUAGACGGGUCAACAUCAGUUUUAGACGGUGGAAAAAGGCAUGAGGAAAGUAGCAACUCCGGUUGUGUUAUAGCCUCGUGUUGCAUACACUGUCCGAGACUGAGGAAUGCAGCUCGCCUUUAUGGCCGGGGUU
rnacentral:rRNA from 1 species